GGAAAUCUCACCAGGCCCGGACACUGGAAGGAUUGACAGAUUGAUAGCUCUUUCUUGAUUCGGUGGGUUGUGGUGCAUGGCUGUUCUUAGUUGGUGGAGUGAUUUGUCUGGUUAAUUCCGAUAACGAACGAGACCUUAACCUGCUAAAUAGUGACGCGGUUCAUCGAACCGUGGGCCACUUCUUAGAGGGACUAUCGGAUUCAAACCGAUGGAAGUGUGAGGCAAUAA
rnacentral:rRNA from 1 species